ACACCUCAACUUCUCAUGGUUUGCCAUGAUGAGCUUGGACUUUGGGGGUCUUGCCGGCCUAUGGUUGGCUCCUCUCAAAUGGAUCAGCUUGCCAGUGUUUGGUGGCACCACAGGUGUGAUAAAUAUCUACGCUUGUGGUUUUCCACCAUGUAACCUUCAGCAAUGAAGGUUCGCUGGAGCUCACAAAUGUCUCUCCUCAGUGAGGACAGCUUUUGAAC
rnacentral:misc_RNA from 1 species